UGGCUCUCGCAUCGAUGAAGAACGCAGCGAAAUGCGAUAAGUAAUGUGAAUUGCAGAAUUCAGUGAAUCAUCGAAUCUUUGAACGCACCUUGCGCUCCUUGGUAUUCCGAGGAGCAUGCCUGUUUGAGUGUCAUGAAAUCUUCAACCUACAAGCUUUUUUGUGGUUUGUAGGCUUGGACUUGGAGGCUUGUCGGCCUUUAUUGGUCGGCUCCUCUUAAAUGCAUUAGCUUGGUUCCUUGCGGAUCGGCUGUCGGUGUGAUAAUGUCUACUCCGCGACCGUGAAGCGUAUGGCAAGCUUCCAACCGUCUCGCUAUAGAGACAGCUUUUUAUGACCUCUGACCUCAAAUCAGGUAGGACUACCCGCUGA
rnacentral:misc_RNA from 1 species